AUGCGUACCGGUGAUCACGUACUUGCUAUGGUCAAUGAUUUACACGUAAUCUUUGGAAAGGGUCCCGGCGGACUAGCUGUUCCGAAUGAUGCUGAGGGACACGCACCCAUGUGGAAGAAGAAAUCUAUAUCUUGGGACCUACCCUACUGGAAAGACCUAGAGGUCCGCUCUUCAAUCGACGUGAUGCACGUGAUGAAGAACCUUUGCGUGAACCUACUAGGCUUCUUGGGCAUGUAUGGGAAGACAAAAGAUACACCUGAGGCACGGGAGGACCUACAAUGUUUGCACGAAAAAGAGGGCAUGCCUCCGAAGCAGUAUAAAGGUCCUGCCAGCUACGCUCUUACGAAAGAAGAGAAAGAAAUCUUCUUUGAAUGCCUGCUCAAUAUGAAGGUCACGACUGGCUUCUCGUCGAAUAUAAAGGGAAUAAUAAAUAUGCCAGAGAAAAAGUUCCAGAACCUAAAUUCUCAUGACUGCCACGUGAUUAUGACGCAAUUGCUUCCGGUUGCAUUGAGGGGGCUUCUAGCAGAAAACGUCUGA
rnacentral:rRNA from 1 species